rnacentral:lncRNA from 1 species
GGGAGGUGGGGUGGGCAUGUUUUCGGCAGCCAAUGGUCCAGGCAGAGUGGAGUUUCCCGGAGGGUGGGCUGGGAACUUUAACAAAGCAGGAGCUCUCCCGAAACACAAACAAACACUUGGGCUUUUUCUGCGUGCAGACGGCUCACACUCACCCGGAGAAGAAAACCCCAGGAGAGACCCUGACCAGGAGCUAACGUUCGUCGGGGAUCUUACCCUGCUGUGAGCUCUCUCUCCCUGGCAGGGCGCUCGCUGGGCGGCGGAGAUCGUGAGGAGAUUUCUUUCGGCACGGGAGAAGAGUCAGAUCUCGGGAUCGGGGAUGAAGGCUCUGCCCAAGAACCAAGGACGGACGGACUAUAUUCUGGGUGCCAUGGGUGACAUCCUUUCAUCCCUGGCGCUGCCCAGCCAGCAGUGGGCCCCUGAUGCCUCUGAAGAGGAGCCGCUGCUGUGUGAGACGACCCAGAGGUCAGAGCGUGUGGACUGGGGCGCUGAGCCCCCAGACCCCCAGGAAGAGACAGCACGGGGUGACGGCCUGGGGAGAGGGGAGCUGACAGGUCAAGGUAGGAAGAUUUGGUUCCCAUUGCUGGAUCAGGAGAGAACUUCUUCUCUUUUUCUCCAAAAUCUGGAACUGUCACUCACUGUACGUUUUAGGGAUUGAUGGGGGAUCGGCAGUUAUUUGAGCCUGAGGUGUCUGGUUAGACACUGUCGAGAAGCCCCCAGUUAUGUCCCCCUAUCCCAGGAACCCUUGGGGCAGUCCCGGUCACAGAUGGCUGAUGACAUCACCCAGAAUCGAACCUGCAACAUCUGAUCAGUGAACGCCUUGAUGGGUGUGCCUUGUGCCCUCUUGUAAAAAACCUAGAAACGACAGCAGGAGGAGAGAGUCAGAGAGUGUGUCCUCAGAUCCUGUUCUGAAGAGGACACCUGCUUUGCUCUGCACACAAGCGCGUGUUUGGGUUUCCAUAUGUGGGGACCAGCUCACCAAGAACAACAAGGAUGUGGAAAUACUGGAAGGCAGCUAUAGAGUUCAUUGCAAAGACACUUAGCAAGUUAGUGCAGGGUAAAUGCACCAUUACUGAGCCACGCCCAGUG